rnacentral:rRNA from 1 species
AAAUUGAAGAGUUUGAUCAUGGCUCAGAUUGAACGCUGGCGGCAGGCCUAACACAUGCAAGUCGAGCGGUAACACAGAGAGCUUGCUCUCGGGUGACGAGCGGCGGACGGGUGAGUAAUGUCUGGGAAACUGCCUGAUGGAGGGGGAUAACUACUGGAAACGGUAGCUAAUACCGCAUAACGUCGCAAGACCAAAGUGGGGGACCUUCGGGCCUCAUGCCAUCAGAUGUGCCCAGAUGGGAUUAGCUAGUAGGUGGGGUAACGGCUCACCUAGGCGACGAUCCCUAGCUGGUCUGAGAGGAUGACCAGCCACACUGGAACUGAGACACGGUCCAGACUCCUACGGGAGGCAGCAGUGGGGAAUAUUGCACAAUGGGCGCAAGCCUGAUGCAGCCAUGCCGCGUGUGUGAAGAAGGCCUUCGGGUUGUAAAGCACU